GUAUGAUUUAUAUACAUUUAGGUACACAAUAUGUCUGACUGAUAGAAAUUCAUCACCUGUAAUCGGCAAGGAAACCAGAAAGCAAGCAUUGGAAAAAUGGGGAGGAAACCCAGAUGUGGUAGAAAACACAAUAUGUCUGACUGAUAGAAAUUCAUAUGAAUUGAUUUUCUCAUAUGCAUUCAUGAUUCUUAUUUUGAUUUUUAAGUCUAUUUUGAUUUCUACAAACUCUAACUAUGUCGAUAUGUAUCCAUAUAAAAGCUUAUGA